CCGGUUGAUCCCGCCGGACCCCACCGCUAUCGGGGUGGGACUAAGCCAUGCGAGUUGGCUCCCUCCAGCCACGGGGAGGGGGCGGCGGACGGCUCCGUAACACGUAGCUAACCUACCCUCAGGACGGGGAUAACCCCGGGAAACUGGGGCUAAUCCCCGAUAGGUGAGGGCGCCUGGAAUGGUCCCUCACCGAAAGGGCUCCGGAACCAUGCUUCCGGAGCCGCCUGAGGAUGGGGCUGCGGCCGAUCAGGUAGUUGGUGGGGUAACGGCCCACCAAGCCUAAGACCGGUACGGGCCGUGAGAGCGGGAGCCCGGAGAUGGGCACUGAGACAAGGGCCCAGGCCCUACGGGGCGCAGCAGGCGCGAAACCUCCGCAAUGCGCGCAAGCGUGACGGGGCUACCCCGAGUGCCGCCCGCUGAGGGCGGCUUUUCCCCAGUGUAAACAGCUGGGGGAAUAAGGGGAGGGCAAGUCGGGUGUCAGCCGCCGCGGUAAUACCCGCUCCCCGAGUGGUGGGGACGAUUAUUGGGCUUAAAGCGUCCGUAGCCGGCCUGGCAAGUCUCUCGUUAAAUCCAACGGCCUAACCGUUGGACUGCGAGAGAUACUGCCAGGCUAGGGGGCGGGAGAGGCCGGCGGUAUUCCCGGGGUAGGGGUAAAAUCCUAUAAUCCCGGGAGGACCACCAGUGGCGAAGGCGGCCGGCCAGAACGCGCCCGACGGUGAGGGACGAAAGCUGGGGGAGCGAUCCGGAUUAGAUACCCGGGUAGUCCCAGCUGUAAACGAUGCGGGCUAGGUGUUGGCGCGGCUACGAGCCGCGCCAGUGCCGCAGGGAAACCGUUAAGCCCGCCGCCUGGGGAGUACGGUCGCAAGACUGAAACUUAAAGGAAUUGGCGGGGGAGCGCCACAAGGGGUGAAGCUUGCGGUUCAAUUGGAGUCAACACCGGGAACCUUACCGGGGGAGACAGCAGGAUGAAGGCCAGAUUGAAGGUCUUGCCGGACAAGCUGAGAGGAGGUGCAUGGCCGUCGCCAGCUCGUGCCGUGAGGUGUCCUGUUAAGUCAGGCAACGAGCGAGACCCGCGCCCCUUGUUGCCAGCGGCCUCCAGUGGAGGCCGGGCACACGAGGGGGACCGCCGCCGCUAAGGCGGAGGAAGGAGCGGGCUACGGCAGGUCAGUAUGCCCCGAAUCCCCCGGGCCACACGCGAGCUGCAAUGGCGGGGACAAUGGGUUCCGACCCCGAAAGGGGGAGGUAAUCCCUAAACCCCGCCUCAGUUGGGAUCGAGGGCUGCAACUCGCCCUCGUGAACAUGGAAUCCCUAGUAACCGCGCGUCAUCAACGCGCGGUGAAUACGUCCCCGCUCCUUGCACACACCGCCCGU
rnacentral:rRNA from 1 species